UACGUAGGGUGCAAGCGUUGUCCGGAAUUAUUGGGCGUAAAGAGCUCGUAGGCGGUCUGUCGCGUCUGCUGUGAAAACUCAGGGCUUAACCCUGAGCUUGCAGUGGGUACGGGCAGACUAGAGUGCGGUAGGGGAGACUGGAAUUCCUGGUGUAGCGGUGAAAUGCGCAGAUAUCGGGAGGAACACCAGUGGCGAAGGCGGCACUCUGGGCCGGAACUGACGCUGAGGAGCGAAAGCGUGGGGAGCGAACAGG
rnacentral:rRNA from 1 species